rnacentral:rRNA from 1 species
ACGUACACUCCUGCGGGAGGCAGCAGUGGGGAAUUUUGGACAAUGGGGGCAACCCUGAUCCAGCAAUGCCGCGUGAGUGAAGAAGGCCUUCGGGUUGUAAAGCUCUUUUGUCAGGGAAGAAACGGUGGUGGCGAAUAACUACUACUAAUGACGGUACCUGAAGAAUAAGCACCGGCUAACUACGUGCCAGCAGCCGCGGCAAUACGUAGGGUGCAAGCGUUAAUCGGAAUUACUGGGCGUAAAGCGUGCGCAGGCGGUUGUGUAAGUCAGAUGUGAAAUCCCCGGGCUCAACCUGGGAAUUGCAUUUGAGACUGCACGGCUAGAGUGUGUCAGAGGGGGGUAGAAUUCCACGUGUAGCAGUGAAAUGCGUAGAUAUGUGGAGGAAUACCGAUGGCGAAGGCAGCCCCCUGGGAUAACACUGACGUUCAUGCACGAAAGCGUGGGGAGCAAACAGGAUUAGAAACCCUUGUAGUCCC